UCUUCCCCCUCUCGCGACCUCACCACUCUCUUCCCCCUGCUGCGACCUCACCUAGUCACCCAGAGCCAGUCUCCCCCACCCCCCGCACAACCUUCCCAAACCAUGCACCUCCGUAGGCCGUAGUCCACACGAUAAGCCUCUCUCUCUCUCUCUCUCUCUCUCUCUUCUCCCUUCAUCUUCUCUUUCUUUUCUCUCAUCUUCUUCUCUGUCUCUGAGUUGAUUUCUGUGUGAUUUGGUAGUGGAAAUGGAAAAUAGAAAAUGUGAAUUUGUGUAAUUUGUGAUGAUAUGAUUGUGUAAAAUUUGUGUAAUUUUGUGAUGAUAUGGUUGUGUAAAAUUUGUGUUGAUGAGUUUGUGUAAAAUCUGUAUAAUUUUGUAAUGAUGAGUUUGUGUAAAAUAUGUAUAACUAAAAUAGGAUGGAUGUUGCAGUUGAUGAGUUUGUGUCAAAUCUGUGUAGGAUCACAUCUUGAGUUUGCUUGAGAGACAUGAAAGUUAUGAAUUUGAAGGCUGAUAAUGGUAAUAGUAGUAGGGGGUGAUGUUGUAGAAGUGAGUAUGUAAUUAAGAUAGAGAGGGGUGAUAAUGCUAAAAGUUUUAUUUCCCACAUAUUUUGGUGUGUAUAGUGAACUAGGGUGGUCCCAUAUAUGUAUGAUAAAUGAGCGAAUUAAUUAAGGUAACACCCGUUAGAUUUGUAAGAUGUCAUGAUCUUCCAUGUCAUGUUAUAUAGACAAAGAGUCAAAUUAAUGUUUAUUAAUUACAUGGUCAUUUACAUGUGUGAUCAUGACCAAUUACAAGGGAAGCUUGUAAUUAAUUAAUUAUUAGAUUUUAUGGUACUCUGCUUGCAAGGCUAAAUGCCCCUAAUAUAGAAACCACCCCCAACAUGAUAUUCGUCUCCUUGAAGAUCAUUUCAAUGAGGCCGGGGCUAUGUGUGUGUGUGUGUGUGUGUUAAGAUAUGUAGAAUUUAUAUAUAUAUAUGCUAAUAUCAUAAUUAAUGUAGCAAACAAGAAAUGGUCUGAAGUGAACUAGUUGGCUUGAUCAUGAAGAUGCCUCUCAUUGAAAAAAAGCCCCUCAAUGUCAAUUUCAUGAAGCUACAAAUUAAGCCAUGCCCCAUGCCUACACAUGAAUCCAAAACACUGCUCAUGGAAAUGACACUUUCAUCUAUCUAGUCAUGUUUACUCGUAAACAUCUGGCUGCUUUGUUUAUAGCUUUAUAUUAGUCUGUUAAGUCAUGGCAAGUUGAAUAUCCAGCUAGCCUAUUGAUGAAACAACUUUAUAGGGUUGAGACUUAGAUUGAUCUCUUCUAACUUUCUACUUGAAUUUGAUCAUCCAAUUAAUUCAAGAAAGACAUAAUAUUAAAUGUCCAGGUGGAACUUACACGGUCUAGCUACAAGCGGCCUAAUUAGCUUGUACGUUUGACAUAAAAUGUUACAAAUUAAGUCCACUAAUUAAUGUGUAUAUAUGUUGGAUCAUUCAAUUCGAAUAGAGAAUUGCUUGAAAAUAUCUCUCUCCUAUUUUAUAUGCAGGUAUCAAAUGCAAAGAAAAUAAAUGGAAACAUAGGUAGUAGCUAGCUAUAUAUUAAAUUGCAAUAGAAGAUUAAAAAAGAAGACUACAUAAAUAUUAAUCCACCCUUAAUAUAAUAGGGGUGGUACUUUGCUUUUUCUAAGAAUAGGGGUGGUGCUUUGGUUUUUAUUAGUCCUUUAUUUAAAGAAUAUUUGGAUAAAUAAUAAGUAGAAAAAGAACUUAAUGAAAUGAAGAUGUUUUUUAUGUGAUGACCCAUGCAUCAGAGUAGGUUCUUAAAAUCAUGUUUUCUAUUUUAGUAUAAUACUUAACAUAGACAGCCAGAGAAGUCGCUCUUGUUACACUUGAAAAUGACUAGUUCAACAAUAUUAAUGUGGUAUGUGAUGGCUUCCCUAUGAAAUGUGGUAUUUGUUCUACUUGAAGAGAUUAUGAUGCUAGCCAUUAAUGCUAGAAAACAUCUAAUAGAUUAGAUGUUGCCCUUAAUAUUCAUCAAAAAGAGAUUAUAUGUUUUCAAUUGAAAGUGAUAAUAGAGUCUUUUGCACUUCCAACCUAGCCUAGACCUGUUGGUUUGAUAGGAGGAUUGUUAUGGCAUCGUGACAUUGAAAAUUUCCAAGACGACCCUAUCAACAAGCUAUACAUGAUGAAUCAAAUGCUAGCGCUUUAGAAAUUGUAUUACAAUCCACAGGGUUACCUAUAUGUUCAAUGAGAUAGUCACAUUGACCACAAACGAGAUAUCAAGUCUUGUAAUAGACAGCUAUGUUGACUUUUCUGCACAUCUCUAUACUUUCUUGGAAGCUCUCCUUGACCAACUAUAGAUGAUUGAGAUUUGGAUCCAUUAGAGUGCCAACUUGGUUUGAAUCAUAAUAAACCUGUAUAUUCCAAUGCCAAUGUGUAUACUUCUUUUGAGUGAGGCUAGUCCCACUAGCAGCCUGAGCCAUCUCUAUGCCAAUAGAUCAAUAUCUAAGCUUCUCUAUGUCUUAGUUAUAAAAUUAGAUUAACAUAAAUGCUUUAAUUCUUCAGUUCUCUUAGUAUCUUUGUCUUCUGGAAUGAUAUUAUCAACUUUUACUACGUACCAACGUGAGUAUAGAAUGUAGCCAAUGAACUGAAUGAUUUGUUUGACCUCGUGAUAUACCAAAUUCUAGUGCUAUCUCUUCAAAUUUCCCAAACCAUGCUCUAGGCAACGGCGUCAAACCAUAAAUUAAAUCCUUAAUUCACCUUCCCUAACUCCUUUGCUAACUCCUUCCCAUCCAAACCACACCUAGGUCUUGCAUUGGAACUAUCCAGCUUCAUUAAUGAGCACCUAUAUUUUUAUGUUGCCUUUAAUAUUCAUCAUUCACUGUGUCCUUUAUGGAACUACCAACAAAUAUUGGUGUGGCAGUGUACUUUCAAAUCCCACAGUUUGUCCAACAACAUCAACUUCCAAUGCAGAUUAAACAACAUGUGCUAGCUUCUAGGUCUCCUGCUCAUCUCAUGCUGUUUUCUAAAGCAUGAGAUGAGUACAUUCUGAAAUUCUGAUUUAUAAACUAUGAGCAAUACUUAACAUUUGAUAGAAAUAAGGUAGUGCGGACGCCUGGGAAUAGUAGGAAGGGCAUCUAUCCAACUCAGAUUUAUGUUAGAAGACCAGUAGGAGGUGGCUUGCACUCAAUCCAUUCCAAAGUAAGGGGUGAGUGUCUUGAUACCACUUCCUAAUUCUUAUAAACUCCAUUUCAGUGCCAAGUGGCCCGCUUUAUUAUUUUGAUGGCAUAUAAAAGUAGUUCGUUAUCAACCAUUGUAUUCAGUAGUCGAGUGAGUUGGAUUGAAAGUACAUGUGAAAAUGAGGCAUGCAAGCUGGAGUGUGGUAGACGACAAGGAGAAGCACAAGCUUAUCAAUUGUGUUAGGGCAGACUUUGUGUUGGAUUGGACAAAAGAGAACCAUCACGAAGAUGUGGUAAAUGCACUCGCUGAUAAGUACAAUACAUACCACUAUGAACUAUACAAGCACUACCUAAAAUAUGCAUCACAUGAAGAGACACUAGCUGGUCGGAAAGGGUUGGUGGAGCCACAUGUUUGGGAGUGGCUAUGUGAAAGGUGGACCAACAGCACAUUCAAGAAUCUUAUGGUAUAAAGGUCGAAUGAGAAAGACUUAGAAGAGGAUGUCGAUGAAGUUGCUGCCUUUGUUUUCAAAGAGGUCCUUGGGUUCAGUAUAGGCUAUGCACAAUGGCUGGGCCACUCAGUCAUUCCUGAGCCCUCCCCUGCUCCGCAAAAGAACAAGGCAAUUAUAUGCAUGGCCGAGGAGAAUGAAAGGAACAAGAAAUGUGCAGACAUUUACAAGACUCAACUAGAGUCACUUUUGGGUGAUAUGGCUGCUUUGCGAAAACAGUUUCUGAGCAUGACAAACAAUUGAACAUGAUAUCAUCAUAGUUGGAGUGUUGGGGAUUUUUGUAUUUUGUGUUCCCCCUAUGGACAUGAUGGCUGUGUGUUAAAUGCCAACGUUUUGAUGGGUAGUGUGGGCAGGUUUGGGGUAUUUUGAUAGAGAGGGUGGCAGGUGGUUAUAUCAGUAUAUUGUGUUGGGAAUAUAUAACACACUAUCUCCAUGUAAGUAGCUACAAAGGUUGUGUGAUGGUAUGCAUCAGGUAAUGGUUAAAAAAGAGUCAGUGAGUAUCUUCGAGAAGGACAAUGAUGGCUUGUAGGGCUUUUCACCUGAAUCAUCUGAGAUUGACUUAUAAUCUGUUUUUGCAGGGGUACAUUUUGAGCAUUAAGGUAGCUGCAUUCACAAGGAUUCUAGCAUACUCCAGUUCUGUAAAAUGGCAACCACCAACAGAAUACAGCAAAUAUUACUGGAUAGGAGCAAAAGAUCCAGUGAUGGUAUAUGUUACUUUCAUAUAACUAUUAUUUAUUACUUAAGUUCAUAGCUCAUGAUGUUGUUAUAUGGAAGGUGUGAUAAAAAAGAUAGUCUGUUUAUAAUAGUUCCAGAUUUGUUGUUGACUACUGUAUAUGGAGAAUAAUUACCUUGGAUUAAUAAAAGUAACUAAUGUAAAGAGAAGAUAUUAGUCAUUUUUUGUAAAAAACACUUGGCUGGUUGCAUUUUUAUAAGUUUGUUCUUAAUAUGAAAAUUUUACAUCUUUAUAUCUUUUCGAGUGGAACCAAAAGGCGUUUGAAACGAUGCUUGAAUUAAAACGUCAUGAAUACUUAGGUAAUUAUUUCUUUCAAUUCUAAAUGAGGAUUAUGCUCAAUUCCCAAUUGGUAUGCUUACUGAUGGUGCUUUUAUGGAAUAUGUCCAGAUGAUUAAUGUACUGUUUGGAUUAGGAUUGGUUCCAAAGCUUAUAUAUUGGAGCUGUCAUGCAUAUUCAUUGUGGUACAGUAGGCUUUAUGUGAUAAAGUAUUACUGGAGUGAUGGUUGGACAUAUGGGAAAGUUGCUCAUAGGAUACUGCAUUGGCUAAACAUGUGGUCUGAUUGCCAACAAAUGGUGUUAGUAUUUCUUGUAAUAGUUUUUUGUUACUUGGGAACUUACCAUAUAGUCUGAAUUGAUCUCUUGUAAAUGAGCAAAGAGUUUUAGGGAGAUUUAUGUCAGCAAAUUUGUUUUGAAUAGUGUUCACUAUUGAUUUGUUGUGGACUUUUGAGAUAUAAAACCAAACAAUGAAGUUGGAAAUGGGCUAGAGCUAGAACCGAGGCCUGAUAAUAGUUGUUUCUUGGUAAUGGUUUUGAGUUAAAUAUGUUCUGAUUUGGCCUUCACACAAGUUAAAAUCCUUUGUCUCAUAUGGUUCAUACUGACAUAUAUAUGGCAUCUACCUUGUAGUGUACUUUAUUGUAUACUAAUAAUCAGGAGGUGAAAACAGGAUGUGCAAUUUUGUCUGUAUUUCUAGGGAAAAUAUGUAUUGGCUCAAGGGUUUAUUCUUUCCUGAGUUCUUGGAUAAAUUAUCUAUUGCAGCUUUAUCCAUAUGGUUUGCUGGAGGAUUUUACCAUAUACAUGAUUGAGUUUGAAAUAUUAUAAAUCCAUAGUUAGUAUUAAGAGAGAUAUAUGUUAGGAUUUCAUUACUAUGAUCGCUGUGAAUUUGUUUGUUGUAUUGGAUAAGGCUAUUGCUGUUGAGGCAAAUGUUUGUGCUAUCUUUCGAGGUCAUUAUCAGCCAUCUGAAAUGUGUGGAUGUAGAUGCUACCGCAGUAAUUUGGGCAGAUCAAGUUAAGCUGUCUAAUACAGUUCAUGUGAAUGAAGCUAUCAGGAGAUCAUGCCAUUUGGAGCCAAGUUGUAUGAGUAUAUGUAGAACAAACAUUGUUAUAUGGGUUAUAAAAUAGUAUGCAUAAUCAUGUUGACGGCCCUCUUGUCCCUCCCAAUCAGUAAACAUUAAUGUAUUUCCAUUCUCUUCAAUGAACAGUGGAACAUGCGUGAAUGAUGUAAAUAUUGAUAUAUAAAUGAUGUUAUAUGGCUGUGGGUG